GAUUCCCAAGACCAUUGAAAAAAUUAUUGAGAGACUUCUCAUGAUGACAUCAGCCAGCACUUUGAUUAACAUGAGAUGAAUCCCAUUGGGCAACAAAGACUUAAGCACAUGCAAGUGGAACAGACAGACAGCUUGGGCACACCCUGCAGCCUGAGGCUGGGAUGACCACACGUUCCCUAGGAAGCUCUGUCUGGGUAGCUGUAUUGAUUUCUGUGGCUCGAGAGGGCACAGGGAUGCAGAGGACAUGGCUUUCUGCUGGGUGUGGAUGAUAGCUGCUAUUUGAAGAGGCAGAAUCAUACUGCCUUGCUUGCACACAGUUUUGCAAAGAACUCUACACAAACACUAAAAAAUUGUUGACUUUCAUAGGUUGUGUAUUCUAUCUUUCCCUUUCCUCACACCUGCCAGUGAAGUAUGAGGAGGUAGCAUCACUUUUUAUCCUCAUCCCCCUCCACCUUCUUGUCUAGACAUCAAACAAAGGCAAUUCCCUAAGCCUACCCUGAAAUGCCAUAUGAGUUAGCCCCCUACCCAGUCCUGAGGAGCUGGGCCAGGUCAACACAACACACAACACCAUUUCUUUACUGGGGAAAUCAGGAAGACAUAUGGGAAUGCAAAUAUAGACAAAAGUUGAAAAAUAUCUAAGGUAUUACUGUUUUGUUUGUUUGUUUGUUUGUUUGCUUUUUGGGAGUCCUUCCCAUGGACACCUCCUGUUCAGCACUACUCAGUGGAUGCCAGUCCUUAGCCUGUUCUCUUACUGAGGGCUUGGUGCAGAAUUGACAUCAGCUCUUUGGGGAGGGUGUAUAGGAACUGUUUAUCACGGCCUGAACCUGAGGCAAGCAGUGAGUCAGCUGCAGGAGCACAGGUGAAGGUAAUUCAGCUGUGCUACCAGAAGGGGUGGAGCCUGGCUCUACCUCUCUUAUAUACUAUGUUAUGUCCUUUGUAAGGACUAACUGCCACUAAGGAAGGUUCUCUCUCUGGAGAUUGCUCCUUUGUGGAGUUUUACUGUGAGCAUUUCCAUUUAUUAUUAUUUUUCCAACACAGUAAUCUUACUUAACCGUACAUUUGUUUAACCCCAUUUACCUAUUGAUUGUAUAGGGGAAGAAUGGGAAAGUAAGUCUCAUUCAAGCUUUAUGGGUCAGUGGAAGAAUUACCAAGAAAUGGAUGCACCACAUGAGCCUGUUGGAUAGUCUUGCAUUUGGGGCUGUCUCAGAUGAUGGUAAAAUCGUGAGAUGUUGCCUAGUGGAAGACUGCCAGCCACUUGGUGGAGAUAGUCUGCCUGGGAGUGAUGAGACUGUGAUUUGUCUCUCUUAGGUGGUUUCAAUUCAGUCAGUUCUUCCAGUUGUGGAUAUACAUCCAUGGGCUCCCCAUCGCUGUCAGGAAGGAUCAAGUAUAUGGACAUACUGGUACUGAGCCUCCCUGUCAGUUGCUACUUCUUGUUAGGAGGAGGAUUAAUCAAGCCCUUUAAGAAGAAGGAACACAAGUCUCACUUGCAAGAAGAGCUCAGAGGAUCACUUCUGUGAACUGGGAUUUCCACUGUUGGAAAAGACAGAACAAUGAAGACCUUUACUGAUGAAAACAGUGGUGUUUUGGGGUGCUAGUAGAAGAAACCAAAGAGUAAAGCCCAGCAGCCUCGAUCAGUUUAAGGAAGGGAUUUUGCUGUUAAUGGAAGAAUGAUGUGGUUUCCUGUAAUAGUACAGGCAUGAACUUGGUGGAAAACAAGUUCUUCCACUGCAUGUCUCCAGCUAUAGUUAAUUUCUGUUAGGGUUUUUGCUUUUAUAAGUGUUCAGUACCAAACAUUCUACACUGGGAUGAAGUUACUCUGAUUGAAUGAACCGAAACAAAGAUUGAAGCAGGUUGACUGAGAAACAUUUCUCUGCUCUUGAACAAUGAUCAUUAACCAGUGACUCACUUCCACCAUUUUGCAUCCAGAAGGAAAAUGCUCCUGAUCCACAGCACAUUUUCUCAGUCUGAUAAUGAGGAGAACAAGAAACAAGAUAUCCCAAGGCUUUUUAUGGAUUAACAGAAUAAUUUUCCUAUAGAAUACAUGCAUUGAUCUAUCUCUAUCUUCUCUUUGCUAUAAAGCAGUUCUUUAGAAACAAUCUCUUCAAGUUUUCAGUCUUAUUUCCUUUCUUCAGGCACAUUGCUAACUAACAAUAAACUCAGCAGAGCUUUCUGGCUUUUCAGCAAGUGAAAAGUCCCUUCUGAAGUAGACUUCUUAUCUGCUAAUGGGAAGCAUGAGUGUAGUCAGUUUUGCCCAAACUACUUUGAGAAAGUAAGCUAUUCUUUACAAAGCUAUCAGGCUAGAACUUAACUGGUUGAUAUCAACUUUAUCUGUUGCUGAAGCAGUCAUAGUUUGGCUGAAAAGUGUGUGCCAUCCUCCUUCCAUGCAGAAUCCGAAUGUGGAGUCCUAUUCAAAUAUUCAGAAGUACCGUGUCAUUUCUUAACACAGGAUAUGCCUUCUCUGCUGACUGAGCCCUGCCCAAAUGUACCAAGACCUUGACUCACUGAAACGUGCUGGGACCAGCAGAGGGAGCAGAAAACAGACUACAACUUUGUGUGAAGUCCUAAACAAAAGGGGCAGUGACUAUUUUGAAGCCAUGCUAGUCCCUUAUACAAAUGCUUUGGCAAACCGUUUUGCAGAAAUGUUUCCCUAGAGGUCAGCAUAGCAAAGAAUACAAAAUUUGGAGUCUGAAUUAACACCAGUAUUUGUGCUGCAAAAAGCCUUUGCUUGUCCUCCAAGAACUCUUGUAGGCAUUGUCUCAGAUUCAUUGCCCUCAGCUCUCAAGGCAAGCUAACACCAUUUACACCAAUCUCUCCCUCUCAGUCUCAGGAAUGAGGUUUUUAACAAGUUGAGACUUACUGGGAAGGUGAUAAUCCUACACCAAAAUGCAGACUUCUGCCUCAGAAGUUGUGGAGGCUACUUUUCAGAGGUGCUAAACAUUCAGCUUUAUAAAUGAAGGUGCAGAACCAUAAAGACUUUUCUAGCUUUACAGCAGACA